AUGUUUAAGUUCUGCAGAUACUUUGCUGUGCCAUACCCGUUGCCCAAAUUGGAUAUGGUUGCAAUACCUGAUUUUUCUUUCGCCGGCAUGGAGAAUUAUGGUUUAGUUACAUACCGAGAAAUGGCUUUGCUUUUUGAUGAAACAACAUUCUGCAGUGCCAACAAGCAAAGGGUUACGAUUACCGUGGCACAUGAAUUGGCACACCAGUGGUUUGGCAAUCUUGUAACAAAGGAAUGGUGGACGCAUUUAUGGCUGAAUGAGGGAUUUGCAACAUGGGUGAGCUAUUUAGCUACUGAUAGCUUAUUCCCAGAGUGGAAAAUAUGGACUCAGUUUCUUAAUGAAGUCACUGCUGGUCUUAAGCUGGAUGGGCUUGAAGAAUCUCACCCCAUUGAGGUGGAGAUCAAUCAUGCUGCUGAGAUUGAUGAAUAGAUUUGAUAUAGUUAUAAAAAAGGUGCUACUGUUAUUCGGAUGCUACAAAGCUAUCUAGGUGCUGAAGUCUUCCAGAGGUCAAUUGCUUCAUAUAUCAAAAAGCAUGCUUACUCAAAUGCAAAGACAGAAGAUUUGUGGGCUGCCCUUGAGGAGGGAUCCGGUGAACCUGUAAACAAACUAAUGAAUUCAUGGACACAGCAGAAGGGUUACCCGGUCAUUUCUGUCAAAGUCAAAGAUCAAAAGUUGGAGUUUAAUCAGACACAAUUCUACUCAAGCGGUUCCCAAGGCGAUGGGCAAUGGAUUGUGCCGAUUACAUUAUCCUGUGGCUCGUAUGAUGUGCGCAAGAAUUUCCUACUACAAGCGAAGUCUGAAACUCUUGACAUAAAGGAAUUUCUGGGUUGCUCAGUAGGAAAGGCUGGAUGUGGAGGCACAAGCAACAAAGACAAUGCUUUAUGCAGUUGGAUAAAAGUCAAUGUGGAUCAGACUGGUUUUUACAGAGUGAAAUAUGAGGAUGAACUUGCAGCUGCGCUUAGAAACGCUAUCGAAGAGAAGCAAUUGUCUGAAACUGACAGAUUUGGCAUUUUGGAUGAUUCCUUUGCCCUAUCAAUGGCUCGCAAGCAGUCUUUUGCUUCAUUGCUUACCUUGUUGAGUGCAUACAGAGAGGAACUUGAGUAUAUCGUGCUGUCAAAUUUGAUUGCUAUAAGUUAUAAUCUGGCAAGAAUUGCAGCCGAUGCUGUACCCGGACUACUGGAUCACAUUAAACAAUUCUUUAUUGGACUUUUCCAGUAUUCUGCAGAGAGGCUUGGUUGGCAGCCUAAACCGGGCGAAAGCCAUUUAGAUGCAAUGUUGAGAGGAGAAAUUUUGACUGCACUUGCUGUUUUUGGUCAUGAACUGACGUUAGAUGAAGCAAGUAGGCGUUUUCAUGCCUUUAUAGAAGACAGAAACACGCCCCUCCUUCCCCCAGACAUUAGAAAGGCAGCAUAUGUGGCUGUAAUGCAAAGAACAAGUGUAUCUGACCGAUCAGGCUAUGAAUCUCUUGUUAGAGUCUACAGAGAGAGUGAUCUAAGCCAGGAGAAAACCCGCAUUCUAGGUUCUUUAGCGUCUUGUCCCGAUCCCAAUAUUACACUGGAAGUUCUCCACUUUAUAUUGACUCCUGAGGUUCGCAGUCAGGAUGCUGUAUUUGGACUCGCUGUUAGUAAUGAAGGUCGGGAAACAGCAUGGAAGUGGAUGAAGGAUAACUGGGAGCACAUCUCAAAGACCUGGGGGUCUGGAUUACUAAUUCCUCGCUUUGUCAAUGAAAUUGUUUCACCGUUUGCUUCAUUUGACAAGGUUAAGGAAGUAGAUGAGUUCUUCAAAGCACAUCCAAACCCGAAGAUAACUAGAACAGUGAAGCAGAGCAUUGAGCGGGUGCAAAUCAACGCCAAAUGGGUUCAGAGUGUUCAGAGCGAGAGAAACCUUGCCGAUGUCGCGACGGAGUUGGCAUACCGGAAAUACUAGGAUGCCAUGUUUGGCUGCGUCUGUUUUUUAACAAGAUUAUGGGCUGGUUUGGUAUCGUUUAUUUAAAAAAAAAAAAAACUGUUUCUGCUGUACUGUGAUAAUAAGUUGAAAUAAAGCAGCAGAGAGUUUGUUAAACUUUUUUGUAGCAGUGCUUUUGAAAAAAAAAAACAGUAUUAUAAUGUGUGAUAAACUUUUAUGUAAAAUAGCUGUAAUUGUGUGAAAUGGCUAAAAAUGGUAUAAUAUUA